rnacentral:rRNA from 1 species
UACGUGGGGUGCAAGCGUUAAUCGGAUUUACUGGGCGUAAAGGGCGCGUAGGCGGUUUAUUAAGUUAUUUGUGAAAUCCCUGGGCUUAACCUGGGCAGGCCAGAUAAGACUGGUAGACUCGAGUAUGGGAGAGGGUAGUGGAAUUUCCGGUGUAGCGGUGAAAUGCGUAGAGAUCGGAAGGAACACCAGUGGCGAAGGCGGCUACCUGGCCUAAUACUGACACUGAGGCACGAAAGCGUGGGGAGCAAACAGG